rnacentral:rRNA from 1 species
AAGAGUUUGAUCCUGGCUCAGGAUGAACGCUAGCGGCAGGCUUAACACAUGCAAGUCGAGGGGCAGCACGGGUAGCAAUACUUGGUGGCGACCGGCGCACGGGUGAGUAACGCGUAUGCAACCUACCCAUAACAGGGGGAUAGCCCAGGGAAACUUGGAUUAAUACCCCAUAGUUCUGUUGAAUCGCAUGGUUUAACAGAUAAAGUUGAGGCGGUUAUGGAUGGGCAUGCGUGCCAUUAGGUAGUUGGUGAGGUAACGGCUCACCAAGCCAGCGAUGGCUACGGGGUCUAAAAGGAUGGUCCCGCACACUGGUACUGAGACACGGACCAGACUCCUACGGGAGGCAGCAGUGAGGAAUAUUGGUCAAUGGGCGAAAGCCUGAACCAGCCAUGCCGCGUGAAGGAUGAAGGUCCUAUGGAUUGUAAACUUCUUUUAUACACCAAGAAAAACUCGAACGUGUUCGAGCCCGACGGUAGUGUAUGAAUAAGCAUCGGCUAACUCCGUGCCAGCAGCCGCGGUAAUACGGAGGAUGCAAGCGUUAUCCGGAUUCAUUGGGUUUAAAGGGUGCGUAGGCGGCUCUUUAAGUCAGUGGUGAAUCCUGCCGCUUAACGGUAGAAUUGCCAUUGAUACUGUUUUUCUUGAGUAUGGUUGAGGUAGGUGGAAUGUGUUGUGUAGCGGUGAAAUGCAUAGAUAUGACACAGAACGCCGAUUGCGAAGGCAGCUUACUAAGCCAUUACUGACGCUGAGGCACGAAAGCGUGGGGAUCGAACAGGAUUAGAUACCCUGGUAGUCCACGCCGUAAACGAUGAUCACUCGCUGUUUGCGAUAUACAGCAAGCGGCUGAGCGAAAGCAUUAAGUGAUCCACCUGGGGAGUACGAUCGCAAGGUUGAAACUCAAAGGAAUUGACGGGGGCCCGCACAAGCGGAGGAACAUGUGGUUUAAUUCGAUGAUACGCGAGGAACCUUACCUGGGCUUAAAUGUAGGCUGCAUUCGGCUGAAAGGCUGAUUCCCUUCGGGGCUGCUUACAAGGUGCUGCAUGGUUGUCGUCAGCUCGUGUCGUGAGAUGUUGGGUUAAGUCCCGCAACGAGCGCAACCCCUACAGCUAGUUGCCAGCACAUAAAGGUGGGAACUCUAGCAGAACUGCCGUUGACAAAACGGAGGAAGGUGGGGAUGACGUCAAAUCAUCAUGCCCCUUAUGUCUUGGGCUACACACGUACUACAAUGGCCUGAACAGAGGGAAGCGAAACUGCGAAGUUAAGCGAACCCCUUAAAACAGGUCCCAGUUCGGAUUGUAGGCUGCAACUCGCCUACAUGAAGUUGGAAUCGCUAGUAAUCGCAGGUCAGCAUACUGCGGUGAAUACGUUCCCGGGCCUUGUACACACCGCCCGUCAAACCAUGGGAGCUGGGGGUGCCUGAAGUCUGCCACCGCAAGGAGCGGCCUAGGGUAAAACCAGUGACUGGGGUUAAGUCGUAACAAGGUAACC